UACCCGCUGACGAGCGGCGGACGGGUGAGUAACGCGUGAGAAUCUGCCCAUCAGUGGGGGAUAACCCGGGGAAACUCGGGCUAAUACCGCAUACGUCCUACGGGACAAAGCAGGGGACCUUUUGGCCUUGCGCUGAUGGAUGAGCUCGCGUCGGAUUAGCUUGUUGGUGAGGUAAAGGCUCACCAAGGCGACGAUCCGUAGCUGGUCUGAGAGGAUGAUCAGCCACACCGGGACUGAGACACGGCCCGGACUCCUACGGGAGGCAGCAGUGGGGAAUCUUGGACAAUGGGGGCAACCCUGAUCCAGCCAUGCCGCGUGUGUGAAGAAGGCCUUCGGGUUGUAAAGCACUUUCAGUAGGGAGGAAGGCUUCCGGUUAAUACCCGGGAGUACUUGACGUUACCUACAGAAGAAGCACCGGCUAAUUUCGUGCCAGCAGCCGCGGUAAUACGAAAGGUGCAAGCGUUAAUCGGAAUUACUGGGCGUAAAGCGCGCGUAGGCGGUGUGUUAAGUCGGAUGUGAAAGCCCAGGGCUCAACCUUGGAAUUGCAUCCGAUACUGGCACGCUAGAGUGCAGUAGAGGGAGGUGGAAUUUCCGGUGUAGCGGUGAAAUGCGUAGAGAUCGGAAGGAACACCAGUGGCGAAGGCGGCCUC
rnacentral:rRNA from 1 species